GUUUUGAACUGAAUAGACAUCACUAUGAAGGAAGUAGCCAAUGCAAACUGACAUCACAUCAACAUGAUGGUGCUGAGAUAUUUUGGCUUCAUUUACCAGUUCUCCAUGGUGUUGCUUAAAAAUGUGUAAGAAGCUUACAAAGCAGAGAACUGCCCAGAAAUCUCCAAGCUCGCAGAAGUUGCUGAGGAACUCAAGAACAGGCAUCAUAAAGGCAGGACAUCUUCAGUACGUCUACGAUGUGACCAGGAUCAGGAACUGGACCUUGUUACACUGUGACUCUCUAAUCACGAAUUGCUUGAAGUUCCAGUACAGUUCUUUAGUCAAACACAAUCCUCACAUCCCACUCAAUUUCUUGUCAGUUGUAUGACAAGACCCUUUAUAGAGAAUAUAUCAGUGGAGUGUCUUGGCCCUCAGUUGUGGCAUUUCUUUACAUCUGGGAGCUGUUUUGGGGAGCUCACCUUUUGUGGCACAUUUGUUUUGUGUAAUUUCAAUUAAUUUGAAUUUUUCUAGUGUUUCAUGGCUGGCUUUAGAUUGGCUUUGACUGAAUUUGAGGAACAUGAUUGAAAUGACCAUGUCAUCCUAUGAGAUCAGUUUGUGUUCUCUGAGCUCUUCUACUAAUGCAAUUAUAAAGCUCACACAUUUGUUUAGCCUUGUAUGUAUCAGUUACCAUAAUAAUUUUGAGACAUGUCCACUGAUGUAUGUAUUUAACACUUCAAUAUUUCUAUUGUUAAGGAAAUCUGUGUUCUAAGACUAUAUUGUACUUUAUUGAUGCACUGCUGAUGAAUAUGUGAAUUCCAUUUAAGGAUUAGAGUAUUCUAAUGAAGCUGCCAUGAACAUGUUAUCUGUCUUUCAUUGGACUUUUCAAAUUUAUUGGGCAAACAUAUAGGAGUUAAAUGGAUAUGUACUACUUCCAAUAUUUGCUGAAAUUAUUGUAAAAGUAACUGGGUCACUUCACGUUGCUCUGAGAUGUAAGGAAGAGUUCUGAAUGUGCUACACUCUUCCUGGUACUUGAAUGUGGAAGAUGUUGGAUAUGUUAAACCAUUCCAGUGGGAUUUUACUGGGUGUCACUGUGGCAUUCAACACAAACUAACAGCAAUUAUUAAGUAGCUUUACCUUUUCAUAUACUCUUUUUACCAUUCAUAUAUCUUUUUCUUGUGAAAAGGGUGUAUCUCUGACUAUUUUGCCUGUUCUUGGGACUCUUUUCCUCCUACUUGGUUGCUUUGUCCAGACUCAAAAUGAAAGCUUUUGCCUUGCCUUAUUGUGUCUUGUGUUGUCAAGUUCGGUUUUGCCUCUUGGAAGUCUACUCUUUUCUGAGGGGAAAAGAGGGGGAGAGGAUCUUUGGAAGAAGAGAAAUGGGAGAUAGAGCUGGGAGGAGUGGAAAGAUAUCAAACUGUGGUUAAUAUAUAUUGAAUGAGAGAAAAAUCUAUCUAAAAUAAGAAAAUGAUAUACAUAUACAUACAUCUAUGCAUAUAUUGGGCUAAUUUGGGUUAAGUUCUAAGAGAUUCAUUUUCUACUUGAAAUGCAAGUUCUUCUAAAAAAUCUGGAUACCAAUUUUGGGUUAAGUAUAGCAUUUAAAAGCUACUUUAGAGAACUGUUAUUGUUGUGCAAAUGGAAAGUUUCUAAGGCCCUGACCUUUGUUCAACUCUGGAACUAGGGUCACAGAGUCACCUGCACCCUCCCUCCCACCCCACGACUCAGCUGCAGCUGCUGGAUUUUUCCACUUCUAUGUGCACAUGUUCCUGUUCACCUUAUACAAACUACCCCCUGGCUUAAUAUGCUGCUGUCUCUGACACUCAGGGGUAGCCAUUUUGUGUCUUGGCUAAGGAAAUUUCUCUAGGGAGACCUUGCUUUGUGUGUGCCUUUCUUAUAACUCUGUCUUAGUUAGGGUCUCCAUGGCAGUGAAGAGACACCAUAACCCUGGCGAUUCUUAUAAAAGAAAAUGUUUAAUGGAAUCUGGCUUACAGUUUUAGAGGUUUAGUCCAUUAUCACCAUGGCAGGAAGCAUGUCAGCAUGCAGGCAGAAAUGGAACUGGAGGAGCUGAGAAUUCUACAUCUUGGUUCACAGGCAGCAGAAGGGGACUGCCCAACUGGGCAUGGCUGGAGCAUAUAAAACCUUAAAACCUGUCUCCACAGUCACACAUUUACUCCAACAAGGCCACACCUACUCCCACAAAGCCACACCUCCUAAUAAUGUUAUUCUCUAUGGGCCUAUGGGAGCCAAUAGGAUUCAAACUACCACAUUCUCACUCUCGUGAAAUUCUUGGGUACCCUUUCAUUUAUUAUUUGUAUAUGUGUGUGGACACGCAUAUACCACACUCUCGUGUAGAGGUCAGAGGACAAUUUAGUGGAGUCAGUUCUCUCUUUUCACUAUGUGGACACUAGGAAUAUAACUCAGCUCAUCUGGCUUGAGGGCAAGUCCCUCUCUCUGUUGAGCCAUCUUUCUUGCUCAGGAUUACUAUGGUUUAAAUUUAAUACAACAUUAACUAAACUUGCUGAAUCUAUUCUGUUUUCUUGUAGUGAUUUUGUAAACUUUGAGCCUACAUUUACCUCUAUGUUGCAUAGUAGAUUCUUCCAGAUUGAAACAUUCAAUCAGCCAUGGAAACACUUUAAGCCAGAAGAAGGUAAGAAACUCAAAAUAACUUCAGGAAGCCUCCCAAACUCAUCAGAUUCACUAUGCUUCUGAGUCUUCAAGAUUAUAUAAACAACAACAAAGACAAAAGACCACUGAGAGUUGCUUGUAGAUAAACCAAGUAUCACAAAAGAUUCUGAGAUCAGAUCAGCUGCCUGGAAGAAGCAGAGACAUUAGGAGCUUCCUGGACGAGGUUUAGAACAAGUGAGUCACCUGGAAAGAAUGCUGUCCAACAUACUGAGAUGCUUUUAGGUUGUGCAGUGUGUUCCAGAUCCACAGCUUUUGUGAACUGGCAUUCAUGCUGUGAUGGACUUUGGUGAUACAGAAGUCUUUGAGUUAUUUCUGCUCCUGUAAGUAACUACCAUAUUCUUGUAAGUAACCCCAAUAAAGC